rnacentral:rRNA from 1 species
UAACUCUGUGCCAGCAGCCGCGGUAAUACAGAGGGUGCGAGCGUUAAUCGGAUUUACUGGGCGUAAAGCGUGCGUAGGCGGCUUUUUAAGUCGGAUGUGAAAUCCCCGAGCUUAACUUGGGAAUUGCAUUCGAUACUGGGAAGCUAGAGUAUGGGAGAGGAUGGUAGAAUUCCAGGUGUAGCGGUGAAAUGCGUAGAGAUCUGGAGGAAUACCGAUGGCGAAGGCAGCCAUCUGGCCUAAUACUGACGCUGAGGUACGAAAGCAUGGGGAGCAAACAGGAUUAGAUACCCUGGUAGUCCAUGCCGUAAACGAUGUCUACUAGCCGUUGGGGCCUUUGAAGGCUUUAGUCGGCGCAGCUAACGCGAUAAGUAGACCGCCUGGGGAGUACGGUCGCAAGACUAAAACUCAAAUGAAUUGACGGGGGCCCGCACAAGCGGUGGAGCAUGUGGUUUAAUUCGAUGCAACGCGAAGAACCUUACCUGGCCUUGACAUACUAGAA